CUCCUCAGGGAUACUCCCUUCUCUAAGGACUCUAUCUUCUCUUUCUGUCUUUCACUGCCAAUUGCUUCAUUUUCUUUUUUCUUUUUUUCCCUAAGGCUUGCCUGUAUGGAAUUUCACUUUGCUGCAGAGACAUCUGGAAAUGUGUUUUCGGGAUGGAAACAAAAAGAAGCGGUCCCGGAAGCCUCCAACUGAUCCUUGGAUCUAUUUGGUGCGGGAUGUGGCAUCACAAGUGUCAGGAGCCGUGGAAGUGGUAGCCCUGGAGCCUCGGAGAGACGUAACUCUCUUGACCUUGAGGCCCACAUCCUCCCAUGGAUCGCCUGUGAGGAAGCUGGUUGGCAUAUAAACUGGAGGAGUACCUGUUGGAAGACUACAGGGAAGGAAGAGUUUCUGGAUCGGCAGUGGGGGCACUAACUUAAUCACAUGGGAGUUGUCCGAGCGUUACAGUUGGCUGAUGUAUCCUGUCUAGAGUUUCAAAUGAUAUUAUACAACCACUGUCACGUCAGAGGACUCAACAACUCAUCUUGCAGCAUAACAAGCAGAACAGACGAACUCUAAUCCUACUACAGACUACCUUCUCUAAGCAACCUCCUGAUCAGCACAAUCGUGGCAAUGCUGAAAGUCUGGAUGCCAUUGAUUAAUGUCUUGUAGCCUGACUUCAUCUGCCCUUGGCUAAAAGAGAGGCACUAAGCAGCCCCUGACAGCUAGGACCUGAUCUCGUACUAUCAGUUGAGCCUUGCUGUUUUCCCGCUAAACAAUUUCACAGAACAUCGUCAUCAAAUAAGGCCAAGUUGUGAUCUUAAUGGAUCAAGACCAAAAAAGACCACUGUGGAGGCUGAAAUAACUCAGUUGGGAGAGCAUUUGACUGAAAAGACCACUGUGUAAUCAGAUUUGAACAUGGAAAACAUGAACAAUAUCUAAACCAUA